UACGUAGGGGGCUAGCGUUGUCCGGAAUCAUUGGGCGUAAAGAGCGUGUAGGCGGCCCGGUAAGUCCGCUGUGAAAGUCGGGGGCUCAACCCUCGAAUGCCGGUGGAUACUGUCGGGCUAGAGUGCGGAAGAGGCGAGUGGAAUUCCUGGUGUAGCGGUGAAAUGCGCAGAUAUCAGGAGGAACACCGGUGGCGAAGGCGGUUCUCUGGGCCUUACCUGACGCUGAGGAGCGAAAGCAUGGGGAGCAAACAGG
rnacentral:rRNA from 1 species